GACGAACGCUGGCGGCGUGCUUAACACAUGCAAGUCGAACGGAAAGGCCCUGCUUUUGUGGGGUGCUCGAGUGGCGAACGGGUGAGUAACACGUGAGUAACCUGCCCUUGACUUUGGGAUAACUUCAGGAAACUGGGGCUAAUACCGGAUAGGAGCUCCUGCUGCAUGGUGGGGGUUGGAAAGUUUCGGCGGUUGGGGAUGGAUUUGCGGCUUAUCAGCUUGUUGGUGGGGUAGUGGCUUACCAAGGCUUUGACGGGUAGCCGGCCUGGGAGGGUGACCGGCCACAGAGGCUGUGGGAAAGGACCAGGACCGCUGCGGGCGGGAGGGGGGGGAAAUAUACCAAGCAGGGCGGACGGCGGCAUGAACAACUCCGGGUGCGAGAACGCGGCCUUCGGGUUGGAACCCAUUUUCGCCUGCCAGGGAGCAUCGGGACGGGAACUGGGUAAAAAGCCCCGGCUAACCUCGGG
rnacentral:rRNA from 1 species